rnacentral:rRNA from 1 species
GACGAACGCUGGCGGCGUGCUUAACACAUGCAAGUCGAACGGAAAGGCCCUGCUUUUGUGGGGUGCUCGAGUGGCGAACGGGUGAGUAACACGUGAGUAACCUGCCCUUGACUUUGGGAUAACUUCAGGAAACUGGGGCUAAUACCGGAUAGGAUCUCCUGCUGCAUGGUGGGGGUUGGAAAGUUUCGGCGGUUGGGGAUGGACUCGCGGCUUAUCAGCUUGUUGGUGGGGUAGUGGCUUACCAAGGCUUUGACGGGUAGCCGGCCUGAGAGGGUGACCGGCCACAUUGGGACUGAGAGACGGCCCAGACUCCUACGGGAGGCAGCAGUGGGGAAUAUUGCACAAUGGGCGGAAGCCUGAUGCAGCAACGCCGCGUGCGGGAUGACGGCCUUCGGGUUGUAAACCGCUUUCGCCUGUGACGAAGCGUGAGUGACGGUAAUGGGUAAAGAAGCACCGGCUAACUACGUG